rnacentral:snRNA from 1 species
UACCUAACCUGGCAGGGGAGAUACCAUGAUCACAAAAGUGUUUUGUUGUUGCUGUUAUUGUUUUGUGUGUGUUUGUGUGUGUUUUAUUUUGUUUUUUGUACAAGACUUAGCCAUUGCACUCCUGAUGUGCUGACCCCUGCCAUUUUCCCAAAUGUGGGAAACUAGACUGCAUAACUUGUGGUAGCAA